rnacentral:rRNA from 1 species
UCGAGAAUUUUUCUCAAUGGGCGAAAGCCUGAAGGAGCGACGCCGCGUGGGGGAUGAAUGGCUUCGGCCCGUAAACCCCUGUCAUUUGCGAACAAACCUCGUGAUUUAACAGAUGACGAGCUGAUUGUAGCGAAAGAAGAAGCUCCGGCUAACUUCGUGCCAGCAGCCGCGGUAAUACGAAGGGAGCUAGCGUUGUUCGGAAUCACUGGGCGUAAAGCGCACGUAGGCGGAUAGUUAAGUCAGGGGUGAAAUCCUGGGGCUCAACCCCAGAACUGCCUUUGAUACUGGCUGUCUCGAGGUCGAGAGAGGUUGGUGGAAUUCCUAGUGUAGAGGUGAAAUUCGUAGAUAUUAGGAAGAACACCAGUGGCGAAGGCGGCCAACUGGCUCGCACCUGACACUAAGGCACGAAAGCGUGGGUAGCAAACGGGAUUAGAUACCCUGGUAGUCCCUGAGCGGGCUGGCAAGGCGCAU